UACGAAGGGGGCUAGCGCUGCUCGGAAUCACUGGGCGUAAAGGGUGCGUAGGCGGGUCUUUAAGUCAGGGGUGAAAUCCUGGAGCUCAACUCCAGAACUGCCUUUGAUACUGGAGACCUUGAGUCCGGGAGAGGUGAGUGGAAUUGCGAGUGUAGAGGUGAAAUUCGUAGAUAUUCGCAAGAACACCAGUGGCGAAGGCGGCUCACUGGCCCGGAACUGACGCUGAGAUGCGAAAGCGUGGGGAGCAAACAGG
rnacentral:rRNA from 1 species